GCCAGGCGCGGUGGCGAGUGCCUGUAGUCCCAGCUACUCGGGAGGCUGAGGUGGGAGGAUCCCUUGAGCCCAGGAGUUCUGGGCUGUAGUGUGCUAUGCUGAUCAGGUGUCCGCACUAAGUUCAGCAUCAAUAUGAUGACCUUUCGGGAGCGGGGGGACCACCAGGUUGCCUAAGGAGGGGUGAACCAGCCCAGGUCGGAAACGGAGCAGGUCAAAACUCCCGUGCUGAUCAGCAGUGGGAUCGUGCCUGUGAAUAGCCACUGCACUCCAGCCUGGGCAACACAGCGAGACCCUGACUCU
rnacentral:SRP_RNA from 1 species